rnacentral:rRNA from 1 species
CUCUAUUAGAAAUUAUUAAUAGUAAAAUCUGCUCAAUGAAAAUUCAAUUGCCGCAAUCGUGCUAAGGUAGCAUAAUCAUUUGUCUUUUAAUUAAAGACUAGAACAAAAGAUUUAACAUUUAAGUAAAUUUCUUUAAUUUAAUAAUUUAAAUUAUUUUUAAUGUAAAAAAUCAUUAAUUUAUAAAAUAGACGACAAGACCCUAUCGAACUUUACUUUAGUUUAACUGGGGUAGUUAAUUAAUUAAUAUUUUAAUAAAAAACAAAAAAUAAAUGACCUAAUAUAAUUAAUUUAAUGAUCAAGUUACCGUAGGGAUAACAGUGUAAUAAUAUUUUAAAGAUCUUAUUUAAAAUAAUGAUUGCAACCUCGAUGUUGACUAAUAUUCUUAUAUACGCAAUAGUUUAUAAAGAAAGUCUGUUCGACUUUCAAAUAAUUACA